rnacentral:lncRNA from 1 species
GCUCACCUACUGAAACAUGAGUUCCUGAGGGCCAGGGUUUUGGCUCUUUUUCUCCUUCUGCCCGAGGUGCUUUACCAAUAUGCUGGCACAAAACAAGCGCUUGAUGGCUAUUUAGUGGGUGAGUGAAAUUCCCGCUCUGCCUGAGCUGCCUCCUCAGCAGGAUGGGUCUCAAGGGCAGUUCGGGCACACAGCAGGUCCUUAGAGCUGCUGGGUCGAGCUGAUCCGGUGCCAGGUCACUGGGGAAACAGAGGCAGCUCAGCUGAGUCACCCGACAGAAGGCAGCAGCACGAGCGGAGCCGCGGGGCCUUGAACGGAACACUGCGUCCCCGCCAGCCCCGCCCCUCUCCCCAACCUGGGAAAGCUCCUGCAGCCCGCAGCCGUGGGCACCUCCAGGGAAGGUACAUUUCCUUUCCUUUCCAUCGAUUUCUGUUCUCCCAGUGAGAAGACAAAUCUGCUUUGCUUCCACCAGAAGGCCUUGGGCCACGGUGCCUUGCAUUAUAGUAAUUAAAUCCCUGCUGCUAGGAGGGUUCAGGAGACAAACAGGCCUCCUGCCAAGGGCUGGCCAGCAGGGCCCGUCUCUGCUGUCUGCCGUGAGUGAGAAAUCCACUUCCCACGAUGCCUUCUCGGGUAGUCACGUGGGGGCGGGAAGAUGGACUCUUCCAUCGAACUCCACCACAGUCACUGCCCAGAGCCGCCACGACGAUCCCCAUCCUACGCCUGAGCCAGCUCGCUGCUCCCACUCCAGACAGUAACACAGAGGCCCUGGAACCAGGCCAGCCCAGGCCUGGGCAGGCGCCCUCGACACCCAGACCAGCCGAUCGUCAUGGAGAGUCGAAGGGCCACACACUCUGGGACGGCAGCUCCUCACUGGGCACUCACAACCCCAGGACACCAAGAUCCAGGGUGCGGGGCCACCUCCCAGAGCGCACAGCCAGGGAGGCACUGAAGCCAGCUCUGGGGAUUGAAUCCAGGAUAUGAGCCACGUUCAAUCCCCCAGCUCCACCCUCAGCAAAAGGAAUUAAAAGACCUCAUUUCGGGCUGGGGAUUUAGCUCAGUGGUUCCGUCGCCUGUCUCCCAACUGCAAGGUCCUGAGUUUGAUCCCCCGUACAAAAAAAACACCUCAUUUCAGACAAGCCGAUGCCCCGGGCCACCCAGCUAAUGGGCCGGGCACUGCCCCUGGGCUGUGGCGAAAGCCCAAGCUCCGGAGUGGAGCCCUGCCCAGCCCUGACUCCAGGCCUUAGGGACACGGACCCUCGGCACACCUGGAGCCUGUGCUGCUUCGGGACUGGAAAAAGAAACAGAGAGGAAGGACUAAAACGGAACUCUUGUCCUCCUGCUGCACCUUUACCACUUAUGACGCUGAGGAGCCUUGGAUAAGUCAUGCAUCUUCUCUGGGCCUUGGAGUCCUGUGGGGGACACACCUUGCCUGCCUUCCCCCUGGCCUGUGCAGCUUGGCCACUCGGGCCGAGUAUGACACCACACAGGGUAGACACGGCCCAGCUGCCUGCCUGUCCGUGCCCCUGUCUGUCCGUCAGCGCAGAGCCCCUCCAAGGCAGUUGGGCCCAGAGCUACAGAUUCCCCAGCCUCGCCCUGGGUGAAGGCAACAUCCCCACGUGUCAAGGCAAUCUGGGGAGCCAACAUCUUACCCACUGGAAGCCGGAAAACAAAGAAAAUGGCUAAGCCCCAAUUUGUUAAAAUCAGAAAUUCCAAAAAAGAGAAAAGGUUCAGCAAAAAAUCCCUGCUGGUGUAACCUUGCACGAAGGCAAACGGGUGCCAACUCGGGCGAGAGCACCAGGAGGAACUACCGCUUGCUGGCAGCCUGGGAUGUGCCAGCCACUUCGCUAGCACUCACCCAGCCAUUAUCGGGGAUGACUCACCAGGCUGGCGGAUGCCAGCACCCCAUUUCUAAAUGGGGAAACUGAGGCCCCCAAGCCCUAAGGUGACCAGCAGUGAGGGGUGGGCCAGAAUUAGCACCUGGACAGUUCUGCCCGCCUCCCCACAGGGUCCCCUCAGUUCAGAGCAGACCUCUGCCUCCUGACUGCUGGGCCACCCUGGGCAAGCUACAGCCAUCACAGCUCCUCCAUCCAUGGCCUGAAGCCAAACACAGACAACGGCCUCUGCCUGCCGCUGACAGGCGCUACCUGCAAGCACCAAGGGGUGGGGACCCACGCAGCCCCUGUGAGCUCGGUCCUUCAGUCCUGCUUUCCUGCUGUCUGGCAUAAGCACCCUUCUUGUUCUUCAAGAAAAAUGCCCAACAAGCUGACUCAAACAGACAGAUGCUGAUUUGCAUAUUGUUUCACACAUCAUGUGCAUGUGGCUCAUCUAGUAUCACCAAGGCUCUGCUCAGAAUACAGCUCCGCUCACCCUGUGACCAGGCUUUGUAGGAAAUUUAGCAACAUGGCUUCCACACGGGCACACCAGGCCCACCAUCCCAGGCCUCGGGUGGCCUCUCCCCAGAGCCCCUGGCUCUCAGCCUCCUCCUGGCCGGUCAUCUCAAGCACUCUGACCUCCCUCCGGGCCCCCCAGAGUUUAUUUUGCUCUUUCUCCACCUGUCUAUUUGAGUGUCCGUGCCCAGUGAGUUACGCCCAGACCACCGAUAGCCAAGUGCAGUGACUGCCGGUGGGAUGAGGAGGUUCCCGAAGGCCAGGCCAUCCAGCCACACCUUCCAGGAAAGCGGCCUCUCCUCUCCCUCUGAGAGCCGUCCAGAAUCAGCAGGGGCAGCCUGUCGUAGGGGUGAGCCCUGCCAGGAGAAGCAGGGCACAUCCCGAUUAUGAGCCCCCCUCCCGGUGCAGGCACCGACUGCUCUGCCGCGGCCCGCCCCCCAGCCACACCUUCCAGGAAAGCGGCCUCUCCUCUCCCUCUGAGAGCCGUCCAGAAUCAGCAGGGGCAGCCUGUCGUAGGGGUGAGCCCUGCCAGGAGAAGCAGGGCACAUCCCGAUUAUGAGCCCCCCUCCCGGUGCAGGCACCGACUGCUCUGCCGCCCCGGCACAGGGAGAGGUGACGCUGCGGGGCCCUCCAGCGACUGCUAAGAGCCACAGCUGGCGGAUGCUGAGGCUCAGCCUGUGCCCAGCUCUGGGCUGGGUGCUGCGCCACAGGCAGGGGUGUGGUCCCCCUUACCAAGCAAGGAAACGGGCUCGGGGCUCAGUUGACCCCCUAGAGAGGCCCCCAGUUCAUCACCGAGUUGAGAUUUGAGCCAAGCCCUUCACUACCACACCUGGCCUCCAGUGCCAGCUAAGAUGGCUGAGACAGGAACUGUGGGUCUGCAGGGCACAGAAUGCCAAGCUCCUGGCGAUUUCCUAAAGACUCCGCCCAACACGGUGCCACCCCCAGCCGUGUAUCCCUGCCUGGGGCCUCUCAGGGUGAGGCCCGGCCUCGGCCCACCAGGCUUCUUUCCUCUCUCCUCUUCCUGCGCUCCUCAUGCCAGAAACUUCGAGUUUUGCCGCCCACCUGCUCUGCACCCUUCAUCCCAGGGCCAUGUUCUCGCCUCAGAAAGGGGCCGGCCCAGGAUCCCACUCCCUGCCGCCAUCCUGGCCUGUCCAGGCCAGGGACCAACACUAUGAACACGGACAGCCUGGAGCCAGGCCUGCUGCCCAAAGGGUGCACCUGAAGAAGUGGGUCUGCAGGGAGCCUGAACAAGACAGCAGCUCUCAGUCCUUGUGAGGGAACCGAUCUGGAAUCAGAUCACAACACCCUGGCACAAGGAAAGCAGUCUGGUCUUACUCUUAAGCUAGAGAAAACCAAAGCCCAGCAAGGGGAAGACUUGACAAAGACCACAUGAGCUAGAAGCAAGAGGUAGGAGGCCCUCCAAGGGCUCCUCUAACACAGAGGCAAGCCUCCCUCUGCUCCAGCUGCCCGAGUGAAGGCCCGAGGCACAGCCAGGGAGGAGGGCAGGGGGCUCACAGAAUGGAGAAGAAAAUUCCAGAGCCAACCACAGAGAAGCCUGAGAGGCCUCCUCAGCCAAACUCCCCGCCAGGCUUGUGGUGGGGUUUGGACCAUGGAACCCAGCUGGUUUCAGGUCCCUGGAAACCUGAGCUUCAUUCUAGAACUGUCUUCCCUGAGAAGAGCCUGAAACUGUGCCACUCAGCCAUCUCGUCUGCGGAACAUGGUUUGCUGCGAUGCCUCUGGGCCCAGGGUAGGGAUCUGAAAAGACAAGCCUGAGCAUCCGAGGCAGGACGGAAGGUCACGCAGCCCACCCCGGGGAAGGGGCCAUAGCCAGGGCUGGCAAAGGCACGAGGACCAAGGGCGGAGCCGGGCAGGGGUGAGAGGCCCAGAG